rnacentral:rRNA from 1 species
CAAUAGCGUAUAUUAAAGUUGUUGCGGUUAAAAAGCUCGUAGUUGGAUUUCUGCCGAGGACGACCGGUCCGCCCUCUGGGUGAGUAUCUGGCUCGGCCUGGGCAUCUUCUUGGAGAACGUAGCUGCACUUGACUGUGUGGUGCGGUAUCCAGGACUUUUACUUUGAGGAAAUUAGAGUGUUUCAAGCAGGCUUACGCCUUGAAUACAUUAGCAUGGAAUAAUAAGAUAGGACCUCGGUUCUAUUUUGUUGGUUUCUAGAGCUGAGGUAAUGAUUAAUAGGGAUAGUUGGGGGCAUUCGUAUUUAACUGUCAUAGGUGAAAUUCUUGGAUUUGUUAAAGACGGACUACUGCGAAAGCAUUUGCCAAGGAUGUUUUCAUUGA